CUGAGACCCGCCAGAUUCUACGGAGCAGCAGUGGGAUAUGCACAUGGCGAAGCUGAUGCAGCGACGCGCGUGGGGAUGACGCUCGGUGUAACCUCUUUCAGUAGGGAGAAGCGAAAGUGACGGUACUGCAGAAGAAGCGCCGGCUAACUACGUGCCAGCAGCCGCGGUAAUACGUAGGGCGCAAGCGUUGUCCGGAAUUAUUGGGCGUAAAGAGCUCGUAGGUGGCUUGUCGCGUCUGCCGUGAAAACCCGAGGCUCAACCUNGGGCGUGCGGUGGGUNCGNGCAGGCUAGAGUGUGGUAGGGGAGACUGGAACUCCUGGUGUAGCGGUGAAAUGCGCAGAUAUCAGGAAGAACACCGAUGGCGAAGGCAGGUCUCUGGGCCAUUACUGACACUGAGGAGCGAAAGCAUGGGUAGCGAACAGGAUUAGAUACCCUGGUAGUCCAUGCCGUAAACGUUGGGCACUAGAUGUGGGGGACAUUCCACGUUUUCCGCGUCGUAGCUAACGCAUUAAGUGCCCCGCCUGGGGAGUACGGCCGCAAGGCUAAAACUCAAAGGAAUUGACGGGGGCCCGCACAAGCGGCGGAGCAUGCUGAUUAAUUCGAUGCAACGCGAAGAACCUUACCAAGGCUUGACACGCACCGGACGGCCGCAGAGAUGUGGCUUUCUUCGGACUGGUGCACAGGUGGUGCAUGGUUGUCGUCAGCUCGUGUCGUGAGAUGUUGGGUUAAGUCCCGCAACGAGCGCAACCCUUGUUCUAUGUUGCCAGCACGUCAUGGUGGGGACUCAUAGGAGACUGCCGGGGUCAACUCGGAGGAAGGUGGGGACGACGUCAAAUCAUCAUGCCCCUUAUGUCUUGGGCUUCAAGCAUGCUACAAUGGUCGGUACAAUGGGUUGCGAAACUGUGAGGUGGAGCGAAUCCCAAAAAGCCGGCCUCAGUUCGGAUUGGGGUCUGCAACUCGACCCCAUGAAGUCGGAGUCGCUAGUAAUCGCAGAUCAGCACGUGC
rnacentral:rRNA from 1 species